AGUGAACGCUGGCGGUAGGCCUAACACAUGCAAGUCGAACGGCAGCACAGUAAGAGCUUGCUCUUACGGGUGGCGAGUGGCGGACGGGUGAGGAAUACAUCGGAAUCUACUUUUUCGUGGGGGAUAACGUAGGGAAACUUACGCUAAUACCGCAUACGACCUACGGGUGAAAGCAGUGGAUCUUCGGACCUUGCGCGAUUGAAUGAGCCGAUGUCGGAUUAGCUAGUUGGCGGGGUAAAGGCCCACCAAGGCGACGAUCCGUAGCUGGUCUGAGAGGAUGAUCAGCCAAACUGGAACUGAGACACGGUCCAGACUCCUACGGGAGGCAGCAGUGGGGAAUAUUGGACAAUGGGCGCAAGCCUGAUCCAGCCAUACCGCGUGGGUGAAGAAGGCCUUCGGGUUGUAAAGCCCUUUUGUUGGGAAAGAAAAGCAGCAGGUUAAUACCCCGCUGUUCUGACGGUACCCAAAGAAUAAACACCGGCUAACUUCGU
rnacentral:rRNA from 1 species